CGCGUAGGUGGUUUGUUAAGCGAGAUGUGAAAGCCCCGGGCUUAACCUGGGAACGGCAUUUCGAACUGGCAGGCUAGAGUGUGGUAGAGGGUAGUGGAAUUUCCUGUGUAGCGGUGAAAUGCGUAGAUAUAGGAAGGAACACCAGUGGCGAAGGCGGCUACCUGGACCAACACUGACACUGAGGUGCGAAAGCGGUGGGGAGCAAACA
rnacentral:rRNA from 1 species